UUUUACUUUAGACUCUAAAGUUAAAAGUUUUUAUUAAGGCUAUUGUAAAGGCUUCUUAAAAAUGAUGUCGCUGAUGAGCCUCUGAUCGCUGUCAGAUUCUGUGAUAUGAAUGUCCGCUAAUGGGUUUAGAAUGAGCCCCGCUCGGCCCGUGUUCUGGCUUACUGUAAUAUUUCACCUGUAAUAAGACCGAAAUAAUAUAAUUAAAAUAAAGAAAUGAAUGAAUACAUGAUAACAUCUAAAUAAAUGUUGAUAGAUUUAGCGUUAUAGUUUUAAAAAUAUUAAUAAACAGCAAAUCAACACAGAAAGACCUAAAUAAUAAUAAUACAUAAUUAAUAAACAGCGCCGCCCCUCCCACUACGCGCAUCACGCGCUGUGCGUCAACCCCAAAGCGUCAAAAACUGAAGCGUGGUCAAGCGCCUCUAGCGUCACUGACAUGAGAUGUUUAUCGCUUUGAAAUCACGUUCAAGAAGUCUCAUUCAGCACACAUCGCGAUACUUUCCAUCAGUUUGCAAGAGCCGCAGGUUGGGUGAGUUAUACAGUCUAUGCUGAAAAGACGUAAAGUAAGCAGUCACCCCAGUGGUGUUUGUGGAGAGGUAUUCCUUCAGAAAUGGAGAAGACAGAAAGCUGCAGAGGCAGGAUUGUUUCCAGAUAACACUGUAGUUCUCCGUCAUGCACAAGGACUCACCUCUUUAACUCCCCCCCCCCCCCACCCACCC